CGGUAGUUAACACUCUGAAGAUGGGAUCUUCUUUCUUCACAACACCAACCUGCAAAGGACCAGAAGAGAUUAUGAUAUGAAGCACUAUUGCCUCUUUUUCAUGUCUUUUGCACUACUGUAUUUCUUUUAAACACUCUGGGUGUGCUUUGCUUGAGCAGAGGGUCUACUGGAAAUAGCCUCUACCUUCGCUAGGUAGGGUUGAGGCUGCGUACACACUAUCCUCCCAGACUCCACUAGUGGGAUUAAACUGUUCUUUUUGUUGUUGUAAGCAGUGAAAAUAUGCAGUUUUAAAUACUAAGAAGCACUACAAUCCACGUAAGAAGACAAAAGUCAAAACAAUUGUGUGAAAAAGUUAUCAUGUCUAUAGUUCUGAAAUGAUUUGUUCUAUUGCUAGUUAUAUGAAGAAGAUAGUGUAACUGCACAACCAUAUCCAUUCAGGAAAUAAUGGAUAUUACGCAAAUAUCUUAAUGUCAUUAUCAUAUCUCAUGGCCGUGCAGUAGUAAUGCUUCCAGGUGCAACUCAAAAUUUGCAUAUAGAUCAACUCCCAAACAAGAAAAAGAAAAUGACUCACACCCUCCCCCUCAAGUGGUAAUCAACACUGGCUAUAAUAACUGCAAUAACCAAAUGGCGGGUGUAGAGAAAUAGACAAGUUACCUCAAUUUCACUGGCCUUAAAAUCCUCUUGCAGGACAGAUUGAAGAGCAGAAAUUGCAGUCUACAGAACAAAA
rnacentral:lncRNA from 1 species